UAUCCGUAGGGGAACCUGCGGAUGGAUCAUUAACAUUAUUAUCCUUAUUAUAUAAACUAUAUAACUGUUGAAGUUUUGUUAUUCUUUUUUACAAAAGAACAACAUACUUUUUUAACCAUAAACUUUCUCAUUAUCUAAUUUCUAUACACUUGUACUUUUUGUACACUUGUAUUUAAUUGUUUAAAUGUGAAACAACUUUUAACAAUGGAUAUCUUGGUUCUCGCAUCGAUGAAGAACGAGC
rnacentral:misc_RNA from 1 species